UACGUAGGGGGCAAGCGUUAUCCGGAAUUAUUGGGCGUAAAGAGCUCGUAGGCGGUUUGUCGCGUCUGCCGUGAAAGUCCGGGGCUCAACCCCGGACUUGCAGUGGGAUACGGGCAGACUAGAGUGUGGUAGGGGAGACUGGAAUUCCUGGUGUAGCGGUGAAAUGCGCAGAUAUUAGGAGGAACACCGGUGGCGAAGGCGGGUCUCUGGGCCGAUACUGACGCUGAGGAGCGAAAGCGUGGGGAGCGAACAGG
rnacentral:rRNA from 1 species